CCUAGUCUGUUUAUGUAUGUGAGCAGGCAGGGCGGUCAAGUUCAUGUAGAAAAUUUCGGACAUUCGUCCUUCUUUGUUUUUCUUAUCAAUUAGAUUUGAAGUUUAGGGAGAUUUCCUCUGGAUUUGGGAAGUUUACAAAUUGAGGCAGAUUUGAGUACAUAUAAUGGUGGGGUGCCUUCUUCAGAGCCUCCUACAGAUAUUGGACAGUGAUCUACUACAGUGAAAUAUGUUUGUAGAAGAGGGGUUUUUUUGAGAGCUAAUAC